rnacentral:rRNA from 1 species
AUACGGAGGAUGCGAGCGUUAUCCGGAUUUAUUGGGUUUAAAGGGAGCGUAGGUGGGAUAUUAAGUCAGCUGUGAAAGUUUGGGGCUCAACCUUAAAAUUGCAGUUGAUACUGGUUUCCUUGAGUACGGUACUGGUGGGCGGACUUCGUGGUGUAGCGGUGAAAUGCUUAGAUAUCACGAAGAACUCCGAUCGCGAAGGCAGCUCACCGGGCCGGAACUGACACUGAUGCUCGAAAGUGCGGGUAUCAAACAGGAUUAGAUACCCUGGUAGUCCGCACAGUAAACGAUGAAUACUCGCUGUUUGCGAUACACGGUAAGCGGCCAAGCGAAAGCGUUAAGUAUUCCACCUGGGGAGUACGCCGGCAACGGUGAAACUCAAAUGAAUUGACGGGG